AUCUGGAGAAAUAAUAAGAAAAAAGGCGCUAAAUGCAGUCUCCGCAAAUAUAUAUAUAUAUCAAAAACUAAAGAAAAAUUACAUCUAAGACCAUAACUCAAUCAAGGACAAUAAGCAAAUUUUACAACCUUGGCAGCAACUGGAGUCCGUAUAUAGGCAACACUUCAGAUUUUUCUCAUCUCUUUAACAGUGUAAUCACAUUAUAGUAAUGUAACUGAAUUAUCUAAUCCGGAAGUAACUAUAAGCCAUUACUACCUAAUGCUUAGAUCAACCAGCAUUCUGAACCUCAUUUUUAUCACCAUACAUCUGUUUGAGAACCAACCAAACUCAAAUCGUACACUCUAAAUCUAUGUUCACUCGGACUCGGGUAUGAGUUUCAAAUGUAGGCACAUGUUUGAGACGGAUAUGUUAGUUUUGGUUUUUCAUGUAUCUGGAGGAUCUUUGAAAAGUCAUGUGUCGCCCAUAUGCAUGUUCGGAUAUUGAGUCUAGAACGGGUACUUCAGACGGAUAUCCAGAGGAUCAUUAACAGCAUAAUCGCGUUGCAGUAAUGUAACUGAAUUAUCUAAUCCGGAGGUAACUAUUUACCAAAAGAUUUGAUAACACCGUCUGCACAUUCCUUGUUAUAUCUUUUCUCCUUCAUUGGCCAUCUUAUUUCAAAAUCAGUCACAUAGUCCCACCACAUCCAAGGUCUAUUGGUCUCAUUUGCCACUUUGAAAACACAAAGCUGCCUUAAGUUCUCAAUAACUACAUCUUUCCCUUCAUAACCUGAGCUAAAAUCUUGUUCAGGAUCCGGUGCACAGUAUCUUCCGCGGUUGAUGCAUUGAGAUUUGCAAUGUCGACUUAGGGUGAAAGCUUGAGGGCAGUACCAAGUUAUAUAAUGGGGUGUGAACUGCGUAUAGCCACCUUUUUCGAGAAUCUUAGCAGCACCCUUGAAAUCCUUCACAAAUGCCAUCAGCAUAUCGCAUUUAACUCCACAUUCAUCAUUGCUCUUGGUCCAUAACUCGUACUCGUCACGAUCAUCAGGGUUAGAGUUUCACCAGAAGUUUUCUCGAUAAGGGCAGAUGAACUGUCCUCUUCGGGAUUGUCCAUGGUUAUUAAUGCUUCUUCUAUAUCAUCCGCAACAAGCACUGCAGAAGCACUGCUUGCCGUACAGUCCAAACCUUUAAAGCAAAGAAGCAAUCUGGAAAAAUAAUAAGAAAAAAGGCGCUAAAUGCAGUCUCCGCAAAUAUAUAUAUCAAAAACUAAAGAAAAAUUACAUCUAUGACCAUAACUCAAUCAAGGAUAAUAAGCAAAUUUUACAACCUUGGCAGCAACUGGAGUACGUAUAUAGGCAAUACUUCAGAUUUUUCUCAUCUCUUUAACAUUGUAAUCACAUUUUAGUAAUGUAACUGAAUUAUCUAAUCCGGAAGUAACUAUAAGCCAUUACUACCUAAUGCUUAGAUCAACCAGCAUUCUGAACCUCAUUUUUAUCACCAUACAUCUGUUUGAGAACCAACCAAACUCAAAUCGUACACUCUAAAUCUAUGUUCACUCGGACUCGGGUAUGAGUUUCAAAUGUAGGCACAUGUUUGACACGGAUAUGUUUGUUUUUGUUUUUCAUGUAUCUGGAGGAUCUUUGAAAAGUCAUGUGUCCCCAUAUGCAUGUUCGGAUAUUGAGUCUAAAACGGGUACUUCAGACAGAUAUCCAGAGGAUCAUUGACAGCGUAAUUGCAUUGCAGUAAUGUAACUGAAUUAUCUAAUCCGCAGGUAACUAUUUACCAAAAGAUUUGAUAACACCGUCUGCACAUUCCUUGUUAUAUCUUUUCUCCUUCAUUGGCCAUCUUAUUUCAAAAUCAGUCACAUAGUCCCACCACAUCCAAGGUCUAUUGGUCUCAUUUGCCACUUUGAAAACACAAAGCUGCCUUAAGUUCUCAAUAACUACAUCUUUCCCUUCAUAACCUGAGCUAAAAUCUUGUUCAGGAUCCGGUGCACAGUAUCUUCCGCGGUUGAUGCAUUGAGAUUUGCAAU
rnacentral:lncRNA from 1 species